rnacentral:rRNA from 1 species
CGCGUAGAAUUCUACCUACUAUGGGGGAUACCCCUUAAAAAAUUUGGAUUAAUACCGCAUACGUCCUACGGGAGAAAGCGGGGGAUCUUCGGACCUCGUGCUAUUACAUGAGUCUGCGUCGGAUUCCUUGUUGGUGAGGUAAUGGCUCACCAAGGCGACGAUCCGUAGCUGGUCUGAGAGGAUGACCAGCCACACUGGAACUGAGACACGGUCCAGACUCCUACGGGAGGCAGCAGUGGGGAAUAUUGCACAAUGGGCGCAAGCCUGAUGCAGCCAUGCCGCGUGUGUGAAGAAGGCCUUACGGUUGUAAAGCACUUUCAGCAGUGAGGAAAGGGGUGUCGUUAAUAGCGGCAUCCUGUGACGUUAACUGCAGAAGAAGGACCGGCUAACUCCGUGCCAGCAGCCGCGGUAAUACGGAGGGUCCGAGCGUUAAUCGGAAUUACUGGGCGUAAAGCGCGCGUAAGCGGUUUGUUAAGUCAGAUGUGAAAGCCCCGGGCUCAACCUGGGAACUGCACCUGAUACUGGCAAACUAGAGUACAUAAGAGGGUGGUGGAAUUUUCCUUGUGUAGCGGUGAAAUGCGUACAUAUAGGAAGGACCCCAGUGGCGAAGGCCACCACCUGGUCUGAUUACUGACGCUGA